GUGUGCUCUGAACAGAGAGAUGGUUGCCACCUCUUCUCACAAGGACUGGAACGGCCUUCAGAUUUUCUUGUUACCAAACAUCCAGUCGGGGCUACCCACUUGAGUUGGGUGGAUCACGAUACAUC